GGCACUUCAGUCGAGUCUCAAAUUUCAAUUCAACGCCGCACAGUCUACACAGACCUCAGACUUAGAAAAUGGAAGCAUAAUUCCAGCUGUCGCUUCGGCUACAAGAUUCCAGAGAAUCAGAGUCCCCUAGAAAUUUAAAAAGGGGAUCUUAGGGUUUCUGAGGGAAAAAAAUUCUGGGAGAGAAGCAAUUGUUGCAGAAGCAAACCUGGAUAGCGACAUCUUUGGGCUUCGGUGGUGUUUGUGUUGUGCGGAUUGGCUGGUGCGCAGCUCAGUGCCUCACUCGGAGUCGGUCAUCCCAUCUGGAGUCCAGCCGAAUCAAUGACUGUGAAUCACGCCAUCACGAAAUCAGAUCAGCCCCUCUUCUCAGUCUAAUUAUUUUCGAUUUCUCUCUCAGCUGAGGAUCUCAUUCUCUCGUCUUCUAUGUUUUUUGGUGAAUUAGUGUUGAAAUUCCUGAGACCUCUUGUGCGGGUUGCUGAACGGAACAAGGCUUGUUGUUUGUUGUUGUCAGAUGAGUGAGGUAGAAGAACAAAAUGAAGAUUUUGUUGAUUUAGACCCAUUGGACUCAGAAAGUUUUCAAAAAGAGGAGGCUAAAGCAAAACGAAGGAGACGGUCAAACGUGUGGAGUUUUUUCGAAAUGGUUCCUGAUUCUGAGAAAAAGGAUGGCAAGCCAUGAGCUAGGUGCAAAUUGUGUGGAGUCACUUACAUGGCUGCGAGAAAAUAUGGAACCGGAAAUAUGAAGCGUCACAUUGACACAUGCCCUAGAAGAAGUUCACAAGAUAUUGAAUCACAAGAAGUCAAAUUGGACGAGUUAACUGAAGAUGUAAUGGAGUUGGAGAUCAACAAGGGCAAAGAGGAUGCUCCACUUCAUUCUUCAAAUUGUUGAUUUUUUUGGACUCGUGUUUUCAUCAUAUUUGAGAUUGUAUCAUUAAUAUGUUUAUAAUGUGUGUUUUGUUUAUUAUAUUUGGGAUGUAAUUUUAAUAUUAUUACAAUGUGUGUGGAAUGUGGAUCAUAUUUGUGUAUC